UACAGCUAUUCCACCUCGAAUGUACUUCAUUUCGUCUGAUCUAGGAAGCUAAGGAGGGUUGGUCCUAUUUAGUACAUGGAUGGGAGAAAUUCUGAUGUGCUCUAU
rnacentral:rRNA from 1 species